UAGGGAAUCUUCCACAAUGGACGAAAGCCUGAUGGAGCAACGCCGCGUGUGUGAUGAGGGGUUUCGGCUCGUAAAACACUGUUGUAAGAGAAGAAUGACAUUGAGAGUAACUGUUCAAUGUGUGACGGUAUCUUACCAGAAAGGAACGGCUAAAUACGUGCCAG
rnacentral:rRNA from 1 species